GAUGAACGCUGGCGGCGUGCCUAAUACAUGCAAGUCGAGCGAACAGACGAGGAGCUUGCUCCUCUGACGUUAGCGGCGGACGGGUGAGUAACACGUGGAUAACCUACCUAUAAGACUGGGAUAACUUCGGGAAACCGGAGCUAAUACCGGAUAAUAUAUUGAACCGCAUGGUUCAAUAGUGAAAGACGGUUUUGCUGUCACUUAUAGAUGGAUCCGCGCCGCAUUAGCUAGUUGGUAAGGUAACGGCUUACCAAGGCAACGAUGCGUAGCCGACCUGAGAGGGUGAUCGGCCACACUGGAACUGAGACACGGUCCAGACUCCUACGGGAGGCAGAAGUAGGGAAUCGUCCGCAAUGGGCGAAAGCUUGACGGAGCAACGCCGCGUGAGUGAUGAAGGUCUUCGGAUCGUAAAACUCUGUUAUUAGGGAAGAACAAAUGUGUAAGUAACUAUGCACGUCUUGACGGUACCUAAUCAGAAAGCCACGGCUAACUACGUG
rnacentral:rRNA from 1 species